UACGUAGGGUGCGAGCGUUGUCCGGAAUUAUUGGGCGUAAAGGGCUCGUAGGCGGUCUGUCACGUCGGGAGUGAAAACUCAGGGCUUAACCCUGAGCCUGCUUCCGAUACGGGCAGACUAGAGGUAUGCAGGGGAGAACGGAAUUCCUGGUGUAGCGGUGAAAUGCGCAGAUAUCAGGAGGAACACCGGUGGCGAAGGCGGCUGCCUGGACCAGUCCUGACGCUGAGGCGCGAAAGCUAGGGGAGCAAACAGG
rnacentral:rRNA from 1 species